CAACAUUUCUCCCCACCACUAGCACCCCUCGCCGUAUUCGGCACGCGAGAGUCGUGGCGCCACCUCUCCCCUCUUCACUCCUCCCGCGACUCUCGUCGCGUACACACGUGCGUCCUAUACCUCUCGCUCUUUCUCUCUUUCUCUCGAUGUAUAUCUGUUCUCUUUCGUGGCGGGGUACUUUUCUCUGUGUUAGUACACGUGUCUGACUCUCUCUUACUCUUUACUCAUAUAUAUUGUGAGUAUAUCCUUGUGUUAUAUAUAUAUAUAUAUGUAUGUAUGUAUGGAGCUAUACACCCCGCCGACAGAGAGACAGGAUACUGUGAGAAUGGAAUUUUCGAAGAGAUCGCAGAGACGUUCUCUACCUACUCGUCGUUCCUUCCCCUCUAUUUCUAUACUCUUCAUUGUAUUCUCCUUGCUAACGGGAUAUAACGAGGGGAAUGUUAACGCGUUCACUGCCAUGGACAACGAUGCGAACGACAUAUACUUUAGCACGAUUUUUCCAACGUUACAAUGAUACUUAUAAUUAUUUUAUAUAUGUAUACACGUGCGUUCGAACGAUCACAAAAUUUUUUCGACAGGAUAUGAAACAGAAAAGACCUUUUGUGAUGUGCCGCUUGGUGCAACCUUCAAAGGCCACCGGAGAACGCGUCGAUGAAUGAAGUAGGAAAGUUGCGGAGUGCCGCGUUCACAGACCGGAUAUACGUAUACUAGGUGGCCGAGAAUACGCGUCUCGUCGAACCAGUUUUAACUUUGCCAACGUCAUCUCCGUCUCGAAUGUGAUUAUAUCCUGAGAUCGAUAUCUCCUGCUUACAUCAUUCUCAUGUACGAAAGUUAAACUGUUGCCUUUGGUUUGUUCUUUCCUUUCUUGUCUAUUUUUCUCUUUUUUCGAAUCGUUGUUGUUCUAUUUCGCGAUGCCCUUUAAGUAAGCAUGUAAACAUAUCCUUAAAUAUCUAUAAAUCAAAAUAUAUUCGUCUGUACAAAAAUGAUCAGUAAAUUAUUUAGAAACAUUAUUAUUCUACGUAAUAUUACAAUUCGAUAUUUUAUUAUCUAUUUUCUAAUUUAUUAUAAAGAAUAUAAAGAUUCAAAAACAGAAGUUUCAUUAGAUAAUGAAAAAGUUCAUUUGUAAUAGAUAAUUAUAAAUAUUCGAAUUUUUGAUCUCAAAGUUGAAAGUUUCUCCGCAUUGGCACGCACAGCAUACAUCCAUACGUUCUAUCUAACUCUACAUAGAUUAUCAUAGAUCAUCUAAGCUACUAAGCGCGGGUCAUAGCGAGGCGUACUUUACCGGUCGAGGGUCAAAUAUUACGAUCGUAUUGAUCCUCGUAUAAUAUUUACCGAAUACAAAUAUUUCUAUAUAUCUAUGAAACUUUAGUUUAACUUUUGAAAUUAUAUUUCAUAUACAUAGUCAAGAAAAAAUUUAAUUUAAACGUUUACUUGUAAUACAAGAAUUUGAUUUUAUAACACCGAUCAAACGAACGAACAAAUAAACAAAAAAAGAAAGAAGAAAGUAACCUUGAAA